GUAUAAAUAUUGUUGGAACAGCAUCUGGCCUCAACCUCAAAUUUCCUCCUGAUUUGUUGCCAAUAUAUUGGUCGUCUUCAAAGUGUACCUGUAGGGAAGCCAUACAUCCGGAACCCCUUCUCGGAUCGAUUAGAGCAUCCAAAUGCUGCACAUCCAACCAUGGGCCCAGGAAACAGAUGAAGAGGAUGUCCCUUUCACAAAGGAACCUUUUUGUUUUUUUCAAAAUGGUUAGGAUGCCCAAGAGUUCUGUAUUGCUUUUUUGUAAAUAGUAUUGCUUUUUUGUAAAUAGUUGCUUACCC